UGCAGAACUGUUCUAUUUUGAGGAUGUGCUUUGAUGCAACCACUUCUGCCUCAGUCCACAGUAGCUGCUCAGACUCCUCCUCUGUGGGCAGUCAGAAGGAGGGGGGGUCCCCAGCGUCUGGGAGGGACCCCAGGUCAAGCUCCGGAUCAACAAGCUACUCACAGACUCACUCUCCCUCGACAGCUGUGUGACUUCCAUCUCAACUGUAACGUCAGACACCUUUGAUACACAUAUCAGUGAGGCGAACUGCACUUGGAGGACCAAGAAGACAAAAGAGACUUUAUCUGAACUUCUCCCACCAGCCUGCUCUCCUGCCCCCACUUCUCCCCCCUUUUUUCCUCAUACCCUUCCCAUACACAAUGCCAGUGGAUUAGGCACAGC